rnacentral:rRNA from 1 species
UACAGAGGUGGCAAGCGUUGUUCGGAAUUACUGGGCGUAAAGGGCGCGUAGGCGGCCUUCUAAGUCAGACGUGAAAUCCCCCGGCUUAACCUGGGAACUGCGUCUGAUACUGGAAGGCUUGAGUGCGGGAGAGGGAUGUGGAAUUCCAGGUGUAGCGGUGAAAUGCGUAGAUAUCUGGAGGAACACCGGUGGCGAAGGCGGCAUCCUGGACCAACACUGACACUGAGGAGCGAAAGCCAGGGGAGCAAACGGG